AUGCACGCUGGCGGCGUGCCUAAUACCUGCAAGUCGAGCGAACAGACGAGGAGCUUGCUCCUCUGACGUUAGCGGCGGACGGGUGAGUAACACGUGGAUAACCUACCUAUAAGACUGGGAUAACUUCGGGAAACCGGAGCUAAUACCGGAUAAUAUAUUGAACCGCAUGGUUCAAUAGUGAAAGACGGUUUUGCUGUCACUUAUAGAUGGAUCCGCGCCGCAUUAGCUAGUUGGUAAGGUAAAGGCUUACCAAGGCAACGAUGCGUAGCCGACCUGAGAGGGUGAUCAGCCACACUGGAACUGAGACACGGUCCAGACUCCUACGGGAGGCAGCAGUAGGGAAUCUUCCGCAAUGGGCGAAAGCUUGACGGAGCAACGCCGCGUGAGUGAUGAAGGUCUUCGGAUCGUAAAACUCUGUUAUUAGGGAAGAACAAAUGUGUAAGUAACUAUGCACGUCUUGACGGUACCUAAUCAGAAAGCCACGGCUAACUACGUG
rnacentral:rRNA from 1 species